rnacentral:lncRNA from 1 species
AGCGGCGGCCAAACUCUGCCCCGCUCCCUCGCCCUCCGCGCCCGCCUCGGCGGGAUGCGCGGAGGGAGCGCGCGGGGCGGCGGCCAGGUGCUGCGCGGUCCCCGGUGCGGCCGCCGGCAUCGCGCGGGGGACGAGCCCCAGGCAAAACCUGGAGGACCCAAAGUUAAGCGAGAGCCGGCGCAUCCGCGCAGGCGGCGGGGGUGCGGGCGUCGCAUCGCGGCAGAGGCGAGGCUGGGGCGGCUGCACAUAUUUGGCCUGCGGGGAAAUGGCUUGUACCAGCUCACCUGGUAUCCUAUCUCUUCACUGAAAAGGGAUUGGAAAGGAAGGCUAAAUUCCAUGUAUGUGACGGCAAGUCCCCAACCAACCCCUUUCACAAACAGCCUUUUGCAGCUAAGAAAAUAA